rnacentral:tRNA from 1 species
GGAAUGUAGCUCAGUGAUAGAGCACUUGCUUAGCAUGUGCAAGGCCCUGGGUUCAAUCCUCAGUACCA